ACGCAUUUCCAUUCACAAGCAUCACAUGUCUUUGGAAAACGUGGCGACACCCUGGAGCUGGCGCUUGAUGGAGACUGUUGUAAUGGAAGUCUCUGUAAUUACCACGCUCAGCAUCACGUUACACUACCCACGCCUCCCCCUAUGUCCGGCUGCAUUUAUUCCUCCGAGGACCACCACUGUCCGCAUCGGUUUCAUUUGGUUUUGGGAAAAUGUUACUUGUAGGAAGCAACCAUCUUAACUACACAGACGCCCAAAAAUAUUGUAAUAAUCACUGCUCUAUAUUGGCUGAAGAUUUAUCUCAACGAGACAUGGAUCACCUCAAAAACAUAAUUGAUGACGCUACGGUCCUCACUGGGGCAGUGGACCAGGGACACAAUGGUCAGUUUGUGUGGAAAUAUUCAGGGAAACCCGCCCCUCUUCCUGACAUGGUCAAUAACAAAUAUCCUGACAACGCAUGCGCUGUAUUACGUCGUAUCAAUGAUGACGUACGACUUAAUAACCACUA